rnacentral:rRNA from 1 species
UACGGAGGAUUCAAGCGUUAUCCGGAUUUAUUGGGUUUAAAGGGUGCGUAGGCGGUCGGAUAAGUUAGCGGUGAAAUACCGAUGCUCAACAUCGGGGCUGCCGCUGAUACUGUAGGACUAGAGAUCGGAUGCAGCAGGCGGAAUGUGUAGUGUAGCGGUGAAAUGCAUAGAUAUUACACAGAACUCCGAUUGCGAAGGCAGCAUACCGGCGCCCGACUGACGCUGAAGCACGAAAGCGUGGGUAUCGAACAGG